UUUGUGCACUCAAAGUUCUUCUGUUCUACCAUUAAUUAAGGAUUCUUAACUCCGUGAAUUCCACUAUGGAGCGUCUAUACUCUUUAGUGUAUCUUUGUUGUCCUGUUCCACAAUUCUACCAUUAAGUUGACUGGUGUAAUUUUCAUAUCACCUUAAUUUAACAUGCAAAGUAUCCACAAUAACCAAAUUCUAUUUUUUACACCUACAAUUUAUUUACCUCUGUUUUAUUGCAAUGACUAAAUAUUAAAAACACAUUUACUCUAUUUUUUCUCAUACCUAAUAUUGUUCAAGAUAUUUAUCUAAUAUGAAUCGUAUAUAACAAGCAAGCUAUCCAUCAAAUUCUAGCUCAAAAACAUGUAUAAAUAAAUAAUCCUCUCCAUUCUCCCUCAUUUAAAAAACUCAUUUUUCUCUAUCUCUAAAGCAUAAAACAAAGCAUAAUAAUAAUAAAUGAAGGAUGAAGUAGCUAACCUUUACAACACUUUGGAUGAGUGAAAUACCCAGGAAAUUGAAGAAAAAAAAUUGGACGGCAC
rnacentral:lncRNA from 1 species